AUACUUUCUUAAUCAUCGCUCAGCUUAUGGUUGCUGUUACGCUAAAACGACAUCGACCACGUCAAGUGGUGGUGGUCGUGGUGGUGCUGCUGCUAGUGGUGGGGAAGAAUAAACCAAAAGUAGUGUGUAUUACAUUUAUAAAAUAAAGUGUAAGGAACAGCCAAAACAUAAAGAGAGAAAAAAAAUUAUUUUUAAAAAUUAAAAACGGAUAUGCCAGCCAGAGUCUCUGUAAAACCAAACCCUCCUUAGCAUAAUAAAUGAUUU